GACGAACGCUGGCGGCGUGCUUAACACAUGCAAGUCGAACGGUGAAGGAGCCUGUUUUUGUGGGCCCUGGGUGAGUGGCGAGCGGGUGAGUAACACGUGAGUAACCUGCCCCCUUCUUCUGGAUAACCGCAUGAAAGUGUGGCUAAUACGGGAUAUUCUGGGUCUGUCGCAUGAUGGGUCUGGGAAAGAUGGCGCCUUAGGGUGUGUUUGGUGGGGGAUGUGCUCGUGGCCUAUCAGCUUGUUGGGGGGGCGAUUGCCUACCAAGGCGGUGACGGGUAGCCGGUCGGAGGGGGUGGGCGGUGAGAGUGGGAAUGGGACACGGGGGAGUGACCUACGGGACGCACUAGUGCGGGAUAUUGCACAAUGGGAGAAAGCAUGAUGGGGCGAAGCCUGGUGCGGCGUGGACGCGUUCGGGUUGUAAGCCUCUGUGGCCAGUGCAGCAGGCCUGCUCCUUGUGGGUGGGUUGACGGUAGCUGGAGAAGAAGCGCCGGCUAACUACGUG
rnacentral:rRNA from 1 species